UUGAGGUGAAAUGCUUANNNUUUCAUUUAUAGACCAAAUAAUGUUUAAUAUUUAAUUUAAAAUUAUAAUAUUAAAUCUUAAUCUAACCUAUGGCAUUCAUCAUUUACUGCAAAGACUACUUGGGUAUCUAAUCCUGUUUGUGCUCUGUGCCUUCGUCCUUUAACGUCAGUUUUCACAUAGAGGGCUGCCUUCGCCUUUACCGAGUCCCUUUGGUAUCAUAGAAUUUCAUCUCUCCUCCUCAAGUACUGCCCUCUUACAUAAAACUCUAGUCAAGUACUAACAUUUUAGAAGCUAUAUUGACCGUCUAGGUACCCUUUAAACCUAAUUAAGAUGAAUAACACUAGUCUCUUACGUAUUACCGCGACUGCUGGCACGCAAUUAGUCAAGACACGAUAUAUAUCCYGUCAUUAUCAAUAUAUAACCMMAGCUUUAUUCAAUUUUMAUACAAUCCUAUAGAUCAUAUUC
rnacentral:rRNA from 1 species